CCGGGCCGGGCCGUGAGGGGAGCCCGGAACCGGCCGAGAGCGAGGAGCUGUAAACUUUCCAGCGAGGCCAAGUCCUACUCUGAGCUCUGCAGAGCAUUGAUGGGAAGCUCUCUGCCACCCAGAAGACUAUAUAAAUGACACAGGUUUUUUCUGUUUAGAUAAAUUUACAGUAUCUACUAAAACACAAAGCAGCAAUAACUUAUUACAGCAUUUAAUAUAUACUGAGAAAUAUUAAUCUACUCUGUAAAAAUCUUUCAUAUUAAAAAAAGAGGAACAAACCCUCACAAUAUUGAAAGAUAAAGCUGAGGUUCAAGGGAAGGUUAUUAUGCUGUGAUUACACCUGUAUACUUCCCUGUGGUUUCAUGCUUCCAGACUUUGUAAAUAAAUGGGUUAACUUCU